GCCAGCUUGGAGUAGUGGCUUGAGUAUUAGAUUAAGACUCUGGGGACCAAGGUUCGAAUCCUAGCUUGGCC